UUUGAACCAUUUAAUGGUUUUUUACUAAAAACGUCAAAAAUUGUUAUUUUUUAACCAGAAUGAAUUGUUACAUUUCAAGCAUAUUCAAAGUUUAAAUGGAAACCCCAAAAAAAUGGUUAAAAUUUCAAUGAUUCUCAAAAAAUUUUAUUCCACCAUUUUUUUUAUUCGGCCUGUGCUACGCUGUUCUGCGGCUGUUAAUUUGUUGUUUAUAACGCGCAUUGAUCGGGGAAAUUGCUGAGAAAAUCAGAUAAGCUGCAGCAGAAAAAUGUACCGAAAAACCCAACCAGUUGUAACAGGCAGUAGCCGGACAUGGGACUCAAGUUUGAAAAGAAAAGCUGGAGAAAAGGUGAAAACAUUAAUUUAUGAGAUUCCAUCUUCCGGAAUAAGUGGAACGAUCUGGAGGAAGAUCCGGACAAUAGUAGAUAGAAAUCUAAUUUUAGUAUUAUUCACAAUCCCGGUUUGACUGCAGUAGCACCCAAGAUGCUUUUUAGAAUGAAACAAAGCCGAGCAAGUAACAGUCCUUCAAGGGAACCGGAAUGGAAAUUUUUCCGGCCGGCUUUUUAUUAUGUUCCGAGGCGCCGGGUUCAAGCUUAAACAUCAAGAUAGGAUCAUCAGCCCUAGUGGAACAAAUGAUGUGUAAUGUACCGUACCAUCGAUAGCAGCUAAAAAAAAAACAAAUCAACGUAAAUGGAUUAUUUAAUAAGGGGUCGAUAUGCUCCUCCGCUGGAGCUUAGGAUUGUUUGAUCCACAGCUUAAUGAAGAAAAAUGUGGUCUAAACGAUGGCGUUCUCAAGAAAACAUCAAAAAAUUUCGUCAAUAACCAGUAGGCUAACACCCACUAAAAACCGAACAGCUAUCCUAUCGGAUAUGCACAAAUCUUUAUUUGUCUGGAUCUGGCCUGGAUAUUCUCGUAGAACAAAUUGAAGUCAGCUUUAAUAAGUAAUGGACGUUUCUGUUGAAAGUUAAGUGGCUUUUUGCAGCUCAUUUGAAACUAGCCAACUUGGAGCACGUAUCAAGCGUAUUUUUUUUCAAAAGCACUUCGUCCUUGCAUAAGAUUAAUUUGAUUGAAUUAAUGUCAGAAGAUAGGACUAUAUCCGUUGUCUCCCACAGCGGUUCCAGUUUUAAACAAGUAGUAAGAUUUCCCUACCUGUAGAGCCAGAGGAAUACAUAAUAGCUCAAUCAAAUUUGUAAACUAUCAAUGAAAAAUGAAAAAAGUUUUUGUCAAGAAUGUACAGUUAUAGUUAUUGUUAUUCUAGAUUAACUUAUUGAAAUAAAAAAAUGGAAUUUAAUGAUUAUAAUACAUUUCAAAACAUCACAUUUAUUCCGUAAAUCUUCCUAAUAAUUCUCAAAAGAAAGAAUUUCAUUCCCUUUUCCCAUAAAACGGUUGUUUUUCAACCAUUACUCAUAUAUGCAAAACGUUUGAAAAAUAACCAUAAUCCAAGUUCUCUUCAAAAUCUCAUUUUAUGAGUUUUUGCUGAAAACUCAUAAAACGACUUAACCCACUAAACCUC